rnacentral:rRNA from 1 species
GACGAACGCUGGCGGCGUGCUUAACACAUGCAAGUCGAACGGUGAAGCUCCAGCUUGCUGGUGUGGUUCAGUGGCGAACGGGUGAGUAACACGUGAGCAACCUGCCUCUGACUCUGGUAUAAGCGCGGGACACGGCGUCUUAUACUGGAUACGAGAACGCCCCGCAUGGGCACUGUCUGGAAAGUUUUUCGGUUGGGGAUGGGCUCGCGGCCUAUCAGCUUGUUGGUGAGGUAAUGGCUCACCAAGGCGACGACGGGUAGCCGGCCUGAGAGGGCGACCGGCCACACUGGGACUGAGACACGGCCCAGACUCCUACGGGAGGCAGCAGUGGGGAAUAUUGCACAAUGGGCGCAAGCCUGAUGCAGCGACGCCGCGUGAGGGAUGACGGCCUUCGGGUUGUAAACCUCUUUCAGCAGGGAAGAAGCGAAAGUGACGGUACCUGCAGAAGAAGCGCCGGCUAACUACGUG